UAAUGUGGGACAGUGAAUCAUAAAGUAUGUAGGACAUAAUAGGUCAGAGGACACUUGCCUUCACCAGGUUGUUGCUCAGGGAGGUCUCCAACAACACACUCAGGAACCUCGGAUUGCUCGUUGUCUAAAUAAAGCGAGCAUGCAUUCAAUACAUUUGGAAAGUACAAAUGAACAUCACACCAAACAUGUACAAACAUUGGAACACAUCUUAAAAAGACACAAUACUACAUAAGGGAUAAUAAAUUCAGGGUAUAACAUAAACUAUGGCAUAGAUUAACUUUAUUUGACAAUAGAUUAUUAUUUCUCUAAGUGUUAUUUACAUGUACAUAAUCAUAGAUCAGUUUAUUUUAUUGUGACCUAUAAUUUAGAGCAGAGAUGAACUCAUGCAAUACCUAUCAUUAAUUUCACAAGCUUAAACAGGUUUACAUUAGUUCAUAUUCAAUCCUAAAAAUUAGAGUGUGCAGACAGUAAGUGAAACCAUUUUAUUUAAACAUAGAAUAAUUCUAUGAACAUUUUGCAAUUUGAAUCACUAAAUUUGGAGUUCAUAUGCAAAAGUUAUGAAAUAAACAAGUUUGGGAAUUCAAAAUAUGAAAUUAGGGCCAAUUCUGUGAAUAUUUAAAAGUCCAGGGCUAAAUCUGCAAGAUUACAGGGGCCUGCGCGUGAAAACCAGGGACGGCGGGUUGAUUUCCAAUAAAUCGAGGGUCUCUUUAAGAAAACUACCACGCGAAGGGGUAUCGGGUGAAUCUAACCGUCAGAUCUAAAACCAACGGCUGAGAUUAGAUCUGCGGCCGAGGGCACGCGGGCGCGGGCGGGCGAGCACUGACAAGCGGGCCAGGGGCGUCAGCGGCAGAGGGGGAGAGCACGCUGACCGAGCGGGCCCAGCGCCAGAGGGGAAACGGAUGGCUGCAGGGGUCCGAGGGGGGUCCGAACCGUUCGAUCAAGAUCGGACGGGGGGGGAUCCGUGGGGGUCCAACCGUUCGAUCAAGAUCAGACGGGGGGUCCGAGGGGGUCCGAGCCGUUCAGAUCGGCGGGCCGGAGAAACUCCGGUGAGCGAUUCCGUCCACAGGGAGGGGACUUAAAGCGCGCUAAGGCCUUGGCUAACUUCAGCAGAGGUAGGGGCGACACAUGGACCUACUCCGGUGAACUAGACUGGGCUAAAUCGGCCGGCCACCGCGCGAGCACGGCGGACCGCCGUGGCCGAGCACCGAUGAAGGUGAAAUUAGCCUAGCACAGGGUGCAAUAGAGGAAAUUGGGCACGAGGACGGGUGUCUCACCUCUGGCGGAGCUCAGGGAGGCUUGGAGCAGUCUCCGGCGAGCUGAAUGGCCGGGAAUGCGAGCACGGGUCUCUGGCGGCGGCUGGCGGCGUGGGCAGAGUGUGAGAGAGGGUGAAGUCGAGCGAAGUGAGGCGAGGGGUGUGCGCGGGGCACUGGUGGGGCUCUAAAAAGGGGAGCUGGGCGCAUGGGCGGGCGUCGUGACCGAGAAACCCAGUGACAUGCGCGAGUGCGCACUCGCUAGUCCACGGCGAGAUCGGGGAAGGUGGAACUGACAAGGCAGGCCCACGGCGCAGAGAGAGAAAAGGGGAUGCGUGGGCACAACGGCUCGGCACUAGCGAACCGGGCCUGCGAGACAGAGAGAGAGAUAGUGAACGGGCGAAGGAAACUAGCGCCGACAGGUCGGCCCCACUGGGCAGCGAGCGAGAGAGGGAGGGCGCACACGAGGGAGAACCGCCGCUGACAGGUGGGGUCCGCCUGUCAGGCGGCGCGGGCGCGCGGGCACGCGGCCUGGCUGGGCUUAGUGGGCCAGCUGGGCUUCUUUCUCCUUUUCUUUUUCUCUAGAUUUUCUAAUUCCUUUUCUAUUUCUUUUUCUAUAGGGUUUUCAAAUCCAAAUUAAAACUAGGUUUCAAAUUCAAAUAAAUUCAAACUUGUGCCACACUUCAAAGAAUAUUUUAAGCUCAGCAUGAUGCAACAUGUCAUGACUCAUAAGGUUUUGACAAAAAUAAAUAAUUGAUCUCCACCAGCUUAAGCUAUUUCUAAUCAAAAGGAAAAAGAGAAAAAGAAUCUAGAGAGAGAGAAAGCCUAGAGUGGGAAAAGGAAGAGUAACACAUGAUUUUGGGUGAUAAUUAGAAAGAAAUUUUAUACCCCCAAAAUCAGGGUGUUACAGACCUAUCCCCCUUAAAAGAAUCUCGCCCUCAAGAUUCAGGGCUGGUUAGAAAAGAGCUCAAGGUACUUGGCUUUCAAUUCAUCCUCUCUUUCCCAGGUUGCUUCUUCUUCUGAGUGGUGUUCCCAUUUGACUUUGCACAUCCUGAUGGUACUUCUCUGAGUGACCCGAUCUGCUGUCUCCAGAAUUUGAGUUGGCUUCUCAAUAUAUGUCAGAUCUUCUUGAACUUCAAGAUCCUCUGCUGGAACUGCUCUUCUGGCACUCUCAAGCAUUUCUUCAACUGUGACACAUGGAACACAUCGUGCACAGUGGACAGAUUCUCUGGUAAGCUGAGUUGAUUAGCCACUUCUCCACGUCUUGCUUGAAUCUGAUACGACCCAAUAUAUCGGGGUGCUAGCUUGCCUUUGACUCCAAACCUUUUGGUUCCUCUGAUGGGUGACACCUUCAAGUAGACAUAGUCUCCCACUUCAAAACUGAGUUCUCUUCUUUGGGUAUCGGCAUAGCUUCGCUGUCUGGACUGCGCUGCCUUUAAAUUCUCUUGGACCAUUCUGAUGUUCUCUUCGGCUUCAAGAAAAAUAUCUAGAUCGAACACAUGUCUUUCACCAGGUUGGUCCCAAUGCAAUGGAGUUCUGCAAUUCCUCCCAUAGAGCGCUUCAAAUGGUGACAUCCUCAGACUAGCUUGGUAGUUGUUGUUGUAAGAGAAUUCUGCAUAUGGUAAUCUCUUGUCCCAACCUAUCUUAUCUUGCAAAGCACAAGCCCUCAACAUAUCCUCCAGAAUCUGAUUGGUUCUCUCUGUUUGACCAUCUUUCUGCGAGUGGUAAGCUGAGCUGAACUUCAAGUGUGUGCCCAAAGCUUCAUGCAAUUGCUGCCAAAAAUGAGAGGUGAACUGGGUGCCUCUAUCUGAUACUAUCUUCUUCGGAACGCCAUGCAAGCACACAAUCUGAGACAUGUAUAGUUUGGCUAACACCGCACUGUUUUAGGUGGUCUUGACUAGUAUGAAAUGGGUCGCCUUUGUCAAACGGUCCACUACUACCCAGAUGGAGUCAUAACCAGUACGAGUGUAGGGCAAACCGACUAUGAAAUCCAUUCCGAUCUCAUCCCAUUUCCACUGAGGAAUCUACAACGGUUGCAACAAACCUGCAGGUCUCUGAUGUUCUACUUUAAUCCUCUGACAACUGUCACACACAGCCACAUACUCUGCUAUCUCCCUUUUCAUACCGUACCACCAGAAUCUUUUCUUCAGGUCUUGGUACAUCUUCUCACUACCAGGGUGUAUAGAGUAUGCUGUCUCAUGGGCUUCCUUGAAAAUCAGUUCCCGGAUCGAUUUGAUGUCGAGAACACAUAAUCUAUCCUUGAACCAUACCACUCCUUCUGCAUCUUCACGGAAAUCCUUGCCUUUUCCAUGUUUGAUCAGCUGCCAAAUCUCGUUGAUUUUCUCAUCAUCCUUCUGACCUUUCCUGAUGUCUUGCUCUAGAGUGGGUUCCAACUCGAUUGUCACUCCUUGAGUGUUGUUCAGAAAUCUGAGACUCAAUCUGUCGAACUCCUUCGCUAGCUCAUACGGCAUCGGGUGGGCUGCCAACAUAUUGACUUGACUCUUUCUACUCAGAGCAUCUGCAACCACAUUUGCUUUGCCUGGGUGGUAAUGAAUCUCCAACUCAUAAUCUUUGAUCAACUCUAGCCAUCUUCGCUGUCUCAUGUUUAACUCUAACUGAGUCAAUAUGUAUUUGAGACUCUUGUGAUCCGUGUAGAUAUCACACUUCUACCCAUAAAGAUAAUGUCUCGAGGUCUUCAAUGCAUGAACCACGGCUGCUAAUUCCAAAUCAUGAGUAGGAUAAUUCUUCUCAUGAAUCUUCAACUGUCGGGACGACUAUGCCACUACUCUCCCUUCCUGCAUCAACACACAUCCUAGUCCGGUAUACGAAGCAUCACAAUACAUUGAGAACGGCUUGUGAACAUCUGGCAAAAUCAGCACUGGUGCCGUUGUCAACUUCUCCUUCAACGUCUCAAAGGACUUCUGGCAUGCUGGGGUCCACUUGAACUCAACCUUCUUUGCCAACAAUGAUGUCAUUGGUCUGGCAAUCUUGGAGAAACCUUCAAUGAAACGUCGAUAAUAACCGGCCAUUCCGAUGAAACUCUUGAUUCCUCGGACAUCUUUUGGUGCUUUCCAGUCCAAGAUAGUUGUCACCUUCUUAGGAUCUACAGCCAAUCCUUCUCGGUUUAUAAUGUGACCCAAGAAUAGGAAUUCACUAAUCCAUAACUUGCACUUGCUAAGCUUGGCAUACAGCUGACAAUCCUGUAACCUCUGGAGUUCUUUCCUCAAAUGCUCCUCAUGCUCUUGCUCAUUCUGGGAAUAUAUGAGAAUGUCAUCAAUGAACACCACCAUGAACUUGUCGAGGUAGUCCAUGAACACACUGUUCAUCAGGUACAUGAAGUAAGCUGGCGCAUUCGUCAAACCGAAUGACAUGACCAUGAACUCAUAUAGUCCAUACUUGGUGAUGAAUGUUGUCUUCGGUAUAUCUGAGGGUCGGAUUCUGAGCUGAUGGUAGCCUGACCUCAGAUCUAUCUUUGAGAACACACUGGCUCCUCUAAACUGAUCGAAUAAAUCUUCAAUUCUAGGCAGGGGUACUUGUUCUUGAUAGUAACCACAUUCAAGGAUCUGUAGUCAAUGCACAUCCUCUUUGUUCCAUCCUUUUUCUCCACAAAUAGCACUAGGGCUGCCCAAGGCGAGGUAUUCGGUCUGAUGUAGCCUUUCUUUGACAACUCAUCAAUCUGCUUCUUGAGUUCCACCAACUCUGGUCCGGACACUCGAUAGGCUCUCUUGGAAAUAGGGGCGGUGCCUGGAAUAAGAUCUAUGGCAAAUUCAACCUUCCUUUCAGGUGGCAUACCUGGUAACUCCUCGGGAAACACAUCUGGGAAAUCUGAUACUACACUGACAGCCUCUGAUGGUUUAAUCUCCUCAAUAUGAGCGGUGACUUGGUGACAACUCCCUUUCCUUGAUCCAGACAAGACCAAUUCCACUAACACUUCUUCUCCUGAUAGGGACACUAACUUCACUGUUCUCUCAUCGCAACUAAGACUGGCUUGAUACUUGGUUAGCCAAUUCAUCCCUAGGAUGACAUCUAUAGUUGUAUCUUGGUUACCCAUAACUAUCAAAUCGGCGGGGAACUCUAUCCCUCUUAUUUGAACCUUUGCACUAGGGCAAAAUCUAUCAGUUUGGGUCCUUCCACCAACUGAACUAACUCUCAUAGGUGGAUACAUGGGUGCUACUAGUAUAUUAUGUGAUUCUACCCAUGAUGCACUCACAAAAAAAUGCGUGGCUCUAGUAUCAAAUAAGACAUUUGCAGAAUGGUACUCGACUAAAAACGUACCUAGUGCCACUCCUGGACUGUGUCGACCUCCAAAUGGUUCACCUUUCCAUACUGGGCACGAGGUUGCCCAGGGUUGUUGCCUCCUGGCUGCAUUGCAUUCUGCCUGACUGGGGCAUUGGGAGCUGGCUGCUGCUGAGCUGCUUUCUUUGGGCAAUGAUUCGCCCAGCUGCCUUGUUCCCCACAGUGGAAACAUGCACGACUUCCUCCUUGAGCUGGCGCUGCUUGAUUGCUCUGGUUGGUUGCUGGGGCAGGAAGACGGGUUGCCUGGUUGUUCUGACGCUGGUAUUGAUUUCCUCCUUGCUGGUUGUUCUGACGGUACUGCUGAGGAAACUGCCUCUGGUACAGUUGCAGCUAGUUCUGAUGCUGAUGCUGGUGCUGGUGCUAGUGACCUUGCUUGAAUUGUUGAGGUGGGUUGCCUGAGUAGCGAGGACGGCUGCUACUCCCGGCCUGAGAUCCACCAACCUUUCGUUUCAUGUCCUCCAUCUCUCGACGCUUCCUUUCUGUCAUGAUUGCUCUGUCUAUCUGUCGGCGUUUUGAACCCGGGGGGUCCCUGGACCAACGAGUAAAUUAUCGUCGCGUGCCCCAGCCCAGAUGGGUCGGCGCGAGACGGAGCGCGAAGGGGGGAGGCAGCCGGAGGGAGACGGGCGUGAGAGGUGGAAUCCCGCGGCCUUCGUGUUUGUCCCGCGCCCAGGUCGGGUGCGCUUGCAGUAGGGGGUUACAAGCGUCCACGCGAGAGGGAGCGAGCGGCCUCACGCAAGCGCCGUCCCGUCCUUCUCCGCGCGGCCAACCCUCGUAAGAGGGCCCUGGUCCUUCCUUUUAUAGGCGCAAGGAAGGGAUCCAGGUGUACAAUGGGGGGUGUAGAAGUGUGCUAACGUGUCUAGCGAAGGAGAGCUAGCGCCCUAAGUACAUGCCAUCGUGGCAGCUGGAGAGGUUUUGGCACCCGGUUCGUGUGGUGUCGUGGCCGUCGGAGGAGCGCUGGAGCCCGGCGGAGGGACAGCUGUCGGGGCUGUCGAGUCCUUGCUGACGUCCUCUUGCUUCCGUAAGGGGGCUGAGAGCCGCCAUCGUCAUAGAGCGUGCGGGGUGCCAUCAUUACUCGUCUGGCGGAGCGAGCCAGAUGGGACGCCGGUCUUGUUCCCCGUAGCCUGAGUCAGCUUGGGGCAAGGUAAUGAUGGCACCUCCUGUUGACGUGGUUGGUCCGUGCCCUAGUUUGAGCGAGGUAGAGGCUCCUCCGAGGUCGAGGUCGAUUCUGUCUUCCAAGGUCGAGGUCGAGUCCGAGCCCCCGGGUCGGACGAGGCGUAGACCGUCGGCUGAUGUCAGGGCUGAGUCCGAGCCCUGGGGUCAGGCGAAGCGGUGUUCGUCGUCCUUCGGGGCUGAGCCCGAGUCCGAGCCCUGGGGUCGGGCGAAGCAUAGUUCGUCGUCUUCCGGGGCUGAGCCCAAGUCCGAGCCUUGGGGUCGGGCGGAGCGGAGUUCGUCGUCUUCCGGGGCUGAGCCCGAGUCCGAGCCCUAGGGUCGGGCGAAGCGGAGUUCGUCGUCUUCCGGGGCUGAGCCUGAGUCCGAGCCCUGGGGUCGGGCGGAGCGGAGUUUCCUCUUAUCAGACCGGUCAGUGGAGCGGUGAAGUGACUGCGGUCACUUCGGCUCUAUCGACUGGAGGGCGUGCGUCAGGAUAAUGGUGUCAGGCCACCUUUGCAUUAAAUGCCCCUGCGAUUUGGUCGGUUGGCGUGGCGAUUUGGCCAAGGUUGCUUCUUGGUGAAGACUGGGCCUCGGGCGAGCCGAAGGUGUGUCCGUUGCUGGAGGGGGGCCUCGGGCGAGACGUAGAUCCCCAGGGUCGGCUGCCCUUGCCCGAGGCUAGGCUCAGGCGAGGCGUGAUCGUGUCCCUCGAAUGGACCGAUCCUUGGCUUAGUCGCACCCAUCAGGCCUUUGCAGCUUUGUGCUGAUGGGGGUUACCAGCUGAGAUUUAGGAGCCUUGAGGGUACCCCUAAUUAUGGUCCCCGACAGUAGCCCCCGAGCCUCGAAGGGAGUGUUAAUACUCGCUUGGAGGCUUUUGUCGCACUUUUUUGCAAGGGGACCAACCUUUCUCGGUUGCGUUUUGUUCCGGUGGGUGCGCGCGAGCGCACCCGCCGGGUGUAGCCCCCGAGGCCUCGGAGGAGUGGUUUGACUCCUCCGAGGACUUAAUGCCUCGCGCAAUGUUUCGGCUGGUCUGAUCGUUCCCUCAUGCGAGCUGGCCGUAGCCCGGGUGCACGGUCGGGUCCCAAGUUCUCGGGCUGGUAUGUUGACGCUGUCAACGGUUUGGCCGGAGCCGGGUUUGCGAGAGCAGCCCCCGAGCCUCUGCACAGGGCGAGAGGGCGGUCAAGGACAGACUCGACUUUUUUGCAUAUGCCCCUGCGUCGCCUUUCCGCAAGGAGGAGGGGGGAAAGCGCCAUGUUGCCCUCGGAGGGCGCUGAACAUGGUGUCUCCAGUGAGCUGCUGGCGGGUAAUCCGAGUGGACGCCCGUGCCCCAUUUGUUAGGGGUCGGCUAGAGGCCCGGAGGCGUGCUCCAAAAGUACCUGCGGGUGAUCUGCCGGACCCGGUCCCCUUUCGACGGGGUCCGAGGGCUCGAUGCCUCCCUCUGAUGGGAUUCCGUUACAAGAUCGUUCCCGCUGGUCUCGGAAAUGUCCAAGGGUACCUCGGGAGCGUAGCCCGAGCCUUGGUUAUGUAUCGAACGUACCCAGGGUCAUCCCUCGCUCUGUGUCUGAGGCGGCUGUGAACCCUUCGAGGGCCAGCCUACAAACCCCUGAUCAGUAGUGGGUGCGGAGCCCGAGCAGCCUGAGGCGGCCGUUGAACCCUUCCGAGGGGCCGGCCUUCGAACCUCUGACCAGUAGUGGGUGCGGAACCCAAGCGCUCUAAGGCGGCUGUUAAACCCCUCCGAGGGGCCAGCCUUUGAACCUCUGAUCAGUAGGGAGGCUCGGGGCCUGUUUCCUUCAUGGAGAAGGAUCCUUUUCGGGGUAUCCCCUUUCCCGGUCCCUGUUGUAAGAGAGAGAAAGAGGAAAAGGAAAAGGAUACGAAAUCGAAUGACGUGGCGUACCUUUUUUGACGCGGUCAUUAUGGUGAAGGCGAAGCGUCGCUUGCUUCUCCUGUCUGAGGCGCCGCCUGUCUCGCCGCGGAGUUAAUGCGACGGGGCGAGUGGUUCGCGAGGCGGCCGUUGCGCGUGCGCGAGCCGUUCAAGGAACGGAACACGGGCGCGCCGUCUUCACGCCGUGAGAGAGGGUUCUCUCGCUGUCCCACGAGGUGACGUGAGCUUGGCUGACGUCGUGACCGCUGCUCCUGCCCGCCUGCCACUGCCAUUACUGCCAGCCCAUUUUUGGUUGUAUUGACCGUCGCGCCUGGCUGGCACUGCUGGGUCGUACGCAGGGUUGCCUCGAGUCGCGGUACUGGUUCCGCAGUCGAGGAGGCGUGGUAGUGGUGCGAGUGGCGGUGCAGUUGCUCGCACGUAGCAACCGGCGCGCCGGUCGCAUGACGCGUGGGCCUGGGCCUCCAUGCUGGGUGCAUUGGAAGUCGAAGGGGCGUGCCCACUUGGCGCGGUUGCAUGCCGCCUGCACGGCCGUCCGCCCUUUCACCCGCUGGUUUGGGCGAAAGUGGAGGAAUGCUUGUAACCGCUGGGCGGUUGCAUGCACCGCGCGCGGCGGUUUGGCUUCUUCUGCCCUGGGCCAGCUUGCAUGACGCGUGGGGCCCAGCCUCCGCGUCAUAGGGGGAGGACCUUGGAGCGUGCUGGAGAAGACUCAGCCCACGACGGCUGGGGACGCAAGUAGGGAGAGUCGCCUUUAAAAGGAGGGUGACCCCCUUGAAAGGCGACCAUGUCUUCGCGCUCCCUUAUGCACCGUGUCUUUCCACCUUCCGAGCCCCCGGAUGGGGGACACCCGCAAUCCUUCUACCUUGUCGUUGGAUGAACGCAACUUCGUGGAAGUUGGUACCUUUCAGCCAUCAUUCGGCUUCAAGGAUUUUCAUCAGUCAGCCCGGCUGCAUCCCCUCGCCGGUGGUCACCCAAGACGGUGACCACCAGCCCCUGGGUGGGGAGAAGCAAGCCGGGCUGCGAUCUUGGUCCCGCCCUCAGCUUCAAGGAUGUUCAUCAUCCUUGCUGGGGCGGAGAGCGAGGCGAGCCGGGGCUCUACCUCCCACCCGGGUCGGCUGGCCACCUCCUCUUCUAGCUUCUGGUGGUGGAAACCAUCCUCCAGCUCUACGGAGGAGGCGUCCUCCAGCCAUGCCAGGGAAGGCGAACUGUUGCUGCCCAGCUAGGAUGCAACAUUCCGUCCUCUUCCUCGCUUUCGUGGCGAGGACGAGAGCGAGGACCUGCCAGUGCGCUUUGGAGCGGCCAGCGUUCGCCGGUGCGGCAUUGGUGGAGAGGCGGACGCCGCACGGCUCUUUGGCUUUGAUGUCUGGUUCGCGUCCCUUGAGCGGGGACGCGAACGAGAGCCUUCCGGUGGCCGCGUCUGUCCUGGGACCAUAGCUGCUGCUGCAGAGGUCGCUGGCGAGUCGCCCGGAACUUGUCGCCCCGCAGGCUCCCCGGUGUGGAGGUUGUUCAUACCCGCGGGGACGGAACCGGGGUUCUGUUUGUAAUGGCACCUUUAAUGCCGGUGUUUUGUUCAUUGUGGCCGUCGGGGCCUGAACAUGUAUGUACUUUCGGCACUGAGCCGUGUUUUUUCCCUCAUUUCGAGCACUAAGACUCACCUGUCGGCUAUCUGAACCGCUUCACCAAGUGUGAGUUGCCUCGUGCAAAGGUGACGAUUGAGGUAUCCGUAUCCCGGAGGCGUAGGAGUCCCUCGGCUCGGUCGGCCUUGCUGUCCGAGGCUUCUCUUGCUUAGUUAAAUGAACCCCUCGGCCGCUCUUCGAUGAGCCGAAGCCGAGGGUAGCGGUGUCAGCUCGAACAGAGGUAGAGUUGGCUUCGAAAAGAAGACUUGGUCGGCCGGAGCCUGGCCGGGUCGUCUGCUGGCGGGACCGACGCCGGAGUUAAGUCGCCGAGGCCACAAACCGAGCCGAUGUCUUCUGGAGGCAGCUGGCCGAGGCCUCGGGGAGGCCGGCCGAGCCGUCUGCUCGAGCCGGAUUCCUGGAGAAGGCCCUGGCAGCGAUGGCCCAGGCGUGGUGCUGAUGUCGUCCUUCAGAGUGGAGAUUCUCCGACUGCUUCGCCGUCCGAGGCUAGGUCGGACCUCGCUGAAGGUGUAGUUGACGCCGAGGGUGCUGCUGCUCCCUUCAACUGUCAAGAUCCGAGCCUGCAGGAUCGGAUUAUCUUGUAGUGUGUGUAUGUUUUCUGCGGCCGCCGAGGCCCAAACACACCAUCGUCGUGUUGUAAAGCUGCGUUUCUUUUCCUCUUGUUUCGAGUAUCUGGACUUUUUUGUCGGUAACAGAAUUGUCUGUGCGAGCGAGAGUUGCUUUUCACGGAAGGCGAUGAGUGAGGUAUCCGUAUCCCAGAGGCGUAGGAAUCCCUCAGCUCGGCUGGCCUUGCCGCUUACGCGCACUCUUACUCGUCCAUAGGGUUCUGUCACCGACGCAGUCGAGAAGGCCCGAAAAAUCGUUCCGGUAGAGGAGCUUUCGAGCGUGAAGACUUGUUCGGUCCGCGGAAUCACUUAUCCGAGCGCGAGUUACUUAUUGCAGAAGGUGAUGAGUGAGGUAUCCGUAUCCCGGAGGCGUAGGAGUCCCUCGGCUCGGUCAGCCUUGGCUGCUUUCGUGUACUCCGUCGUUUUCAGGAUCCACUUUCGAAGUAGUCGAGAAGCACGAAAGACAUUCUGGCGAAAAACAUCUUUUUUCGAGGAAAAUUUCGACGUAGAGGGGGUUCCCCCCUUUUAGCCCUCGAGGGAGGGUCGGGCUUUGCCGAGGCAAGGCUGACCCUUCCUUGAUGACUAAACUUUGCAUGUGAACGAGGCAUAGGAACAACUUGAAAGCAUCUUAAGGGUAGAAGCGACGUAGCUGUUGGAUGUUCCAAGCGUUGCUGUAGACCUCGCCUUGACUGUUGGCCAGCUUGUACGUUCCGGGCUUCAGGACUUUGGCGAUGACGAAAGGCCCUUCCCAGGGAGGCGUGAGCUUAUGCCGCCCUCAGGCGUCUUGUCGCAGCCGAAGCACCAGGUCGCCCACCUAGAGGUCUCGGGACCGAACCCCUCGGGCGUGGUAGCGUCGCAGGGACUGCUGGUACCGCGCCGAGUGUAGUAAGGCCAUAUCCCGUGCCUCUUCCAGCUGGUCCAGUGAGUCUUCUCGGUUAGCUUGAUUGCUUUGGUCGGCGUAGGCCCUCGUCCUCGGGGAACCGUAUUCUAAGUCUGUGGGCAAGAUGGCCUCGGCCCCAUAGACUAGAAAGAACAGCGUGAAGCCCGUGGCUCGGCUCGGCAUUGUCCUCAGACUCCAGACCACCGAGGGGAGUUCCUUUAUCCAUCGCUUGCCGAACUUGUUGAGGUCGUUGUAGAUCCGAGGCUUGAGUCCUUGUAGAAUCAUGCCGUUGGCGCGCUCUACUUGCCCAUUCGUCAUGGGAUGAGCCACGGCGGCCUAGUCCACCCGGAUGUGGUGAUCAUCGCAGAAGUCCUUGAACUUUCUGUCGGUGAACUGGGUGCCGUUGUCAGUGAUGAUGGAGUUCGGGACCCCAAAGCGAUGGAUGAUGUUAGUGAAGAACGCCACCGCCUGUUCGGACCUGAUGCUGUUUAGGGGUCGAACCUCGAUCCACUUGGAGAAUUUGUCGAUGGCGACCAACAGGUGCGUGUAGCCCCCGGGUGCCUUCUGCAAGGGGCUGACGAGGUCCAGCCCCCACACAGCAAAAGGCCAGGUGAUGGGUAUCGUCUGCAGGGCCUGACCAGGCAGGUGGGUCUGCCUUGCGUAGAACUGACACCCUUCGCAGGUGCGGACAAUUCUAGUGGCGUCGGCCACCGCCGUCGGCCAGUAGAAACCUUGUCGGAAGGCGUUUCCAACAAGGGCUCGAGGUGCUGCAUGAUGGCCACAAGCCCCCGAGUGUAUCUCUUGUAGGAGCUCCUGACCUUCGGCGAUGGAAAUGCAUCGCUGGAGGAUGCCCGAGGGGCUGCGGCGGUAGAGCUCCUUCCCGUCUCCCAGCAAGACGAACGACUUGGCGCACCACGCCAACCGCCGAGCUUCGGCUUGGUCGAGGGGUAGCUCUCCUCGGUGGAGAUAUUGCAGGUACGGGGUCUGCUAGUUUCGAUCAGGCGUGACCCUGCUCCGCUCCUCCUCGACACGCAGUGCCUCACCCUCGGGGACCGAGGGUACCUUGGGCCGAGCCGAGGGUGCCUCGGGCUAGGCCGAGGGUGCCUCGGACUGAGCCGAGGAUGCCUCGGACUGGGCCGAGGGUUCCUCGGGCUCGGGCGUGUCGUCGAUCUUGAUGGAGGGUCAGUGCAGGUCUCGGAAGAAGACGUCCGAGGGAACCGUUGUUCGCCCCGAGGCUAAUUUAGCCAGCUCGUCCGCAGUCUUGUUGUAGCGUCGGGCGAUGUGGUUGAGUUCGAGCCCGUAGAACUUGUCUUCCAGGCGCCGAACCUCAUCGCAGUAGGCUUCCAUCUUCGGGUCACGGCAGUGGGAGUUCUUCAUGACUUGGUCGACGAUGAGCUGCGAGUCACAUCGAGCGUCGAGGCGUCAGACCCCUAGCUCGAUGGCGAUGCCCAACCCGUUGACCAGAGCCUCGUACUCGGCCACAUUGUUGGAUGCCGGGAAGUGGAGGCGUAGCACGUAGCGCAGAUGCUUCCCGAGGGGCGAGAUGAAGAGCAGGCCUGCGCCUGCCCCUGUCUUCAUCAGCAACCCAUCUAAGAACAUGGUCCAGAGUUCUGGUUGGAUCAGAGCUGUUGGGAGCUGGGUGUCGACCCAUUCAGCCACGAAGUCCACCAGGACCUGGGACUUGAUGGCCUUCUGAGGGGCGAACGAGAUCGUUUCGCCCAUGAUUUCCACCGCCCACUUUGCAAUUCUACCCGAGGCCUCUCGGCACUAGAUGAUCUCCCCCAGGGGGAAGGAUGACACCAAAGUUACCGGAUGAGACUCGAAGUAGUGUCGCAACUUCCGCCGCGUCAGGAUCACUGCGUACAGCAGCUUCUGAAUUUGUGGGUAGCAGAUCUUGGUCUCGGACAGUACCUCACUGAUGAAGUAGACUGGCCUUUGGACGGGCAAUGUAUGCCCCUCUUCUCGUCUCUCGACCACAAUCGCGGCGCUAACCACCUGAGUGGUCGCGGCGACGUAGAUCAAGAGGGCUUCUCCGGCAGCGGGGGGCACCAAGAUGGGCGCGUUCGUGAGGAGCGCCUUCAGGUUCCCGAGGGCUUCCUCGGCCUUAGGGGUCCAAGUGAAGCACUCGGCCUUCCUUAAGAGGCGGUACAGAGGCAGGCCUCUUUCGCCGAGGCGCGAGAUGAAGCGGCUCAGAGCCGCAAGGCAUCCCAUGACUCUCUGUACGCCUUUCAAGUCCUUGAUGGGCCCCAUGCUAGUGAUGGCUGCGAUCUUCUCCGGGUUGGCCUCGAUGCCCCGCUCGGAGACGAUGAACCCCAAGAGCAUGCCUCGGGGAACCCCGAAGACACACUUCUCGGGAUUGAGCUUCACGCCUUUCGCCUUGAGACAUCGGAAUGUCACUUCAAGGUCGGAAAGGAGGUCGGAGGCUUUCCUCGUCUUGACUACGAUGUCAUCGACGUAAGCCUCGACCGUUCGGCCAAUGUGUUUGCCGAACACAUGGUUCAUGCACCGUUGGUACGUCGUACCCGCAUUCCUCAAACCAAACGGCAUUGUGACAUAGCAGUACAUGCCGAAAGGUGUGAUGAAAGAAGUCGCGAGCUGGUCGGACUCUUUCAUCCUAAUUUGGUGAUACCCUGAGUAGGCAUCGAGGAAAGACAGGGUUUCGCACCCAGCAAUGGAAUCCACGAUUUGGUCGAUGCGAGGCAGAGGGUAGGGAACUUUCGGACAUGCUUUGUUUAGACCAGUGUAGUCUACACACAUCUGCCAUUUCCCUCCUUUCUUUCUCACGAGCACAGGGUUGGCAAGCCAUUCGGGAUGGAAUACCUCUUUGAUGAACCCUGCCGCCAUUAGCUUGUGGAUCUCCUCGCCUAUGGCUCUGCGCUUUUCUUCGUCGAAUCGGCGCAGAGGCUGCUUCACGGGUCGGGCCCUAGCUCGGAUAUCCAGCGAGUGCUCGGUGACAUCCCUCGGUAUGCCGGGCAUGUCCGAGGGACUCCACGCGAACACGUCGGCGUUUGCGCGGAGAAAGUCGACGAGCACUGCAUCCUAUUUGGGACCGAGCUUGGAGCCGAUCCGGAUCUGCUUGGAGGCGUCGCUGCUGGGGUCGAGGGGGACGGACUUAACCGUCUCCGCUGGCUCGAAGUUGCCGGCAUGGCAUUUCACGUCUGGCACCUCCUUAGAGAGGCUCUCCAGGUCGGCGAUGAGGGCCUCGGAUUCGGCGAGGGCCUCGGCGUACUCCACGCACUCCACGUCGCAUUCAAACGCGUGUCGGUAUGUGGGGCCGACAGUGAUGACCCCGUUGGGGCCCGGCAUCUUGAGCUUGAGGUAGGUGUAGUUGGGGACGGCCAUGAACUUCGCGUAGCAUGGCCUCCCCAGUACUGCUUGGUAGGUUCCUCGGAACCCGACCACCUCGAACGUGAGGGUCUCCCUUCGGAUGUUGGAGGGCGUCCCAAAGCAGACGGGAAGAUCGAGUUGUCCGAGGGGCUGGACGCGCUUCCUGGGGAUGAUCCCGUGGAAAGGCGCAGCGCCUGCCCGGACCGAGGACAGAUCAACACGCAGGAGCCUGAGGGUCUCGGCGUAGAUGAUGUUGAGGCUGCUGCCUCCGUCCAUGAGGACCUUGGUGAGCCUGACGUCGCCGAUGACGGGGUCGACAACGAGCGGGUAUUUUCCCGGGCUCGGCACGCGGUCGGGGUGGUCGGCUUGGUCGAAGGUGAUGGGCUUGUCGGACCAGUCUAGGUAGACUGGCGCCGCCACCUUUACCGAACAGACCUCCCGACACUCUUGCUUGUGGUGCCGAGCCGAGGCGUUCGCCGCUUGCCCACCGUAGAUCAUGAAGCAGUCGCGGACCUCGGGAAACUCUCCUGCCUGGUGAUCUUCCUUCUUAUCAUCGUCGCGAGCCCUGCCACCCUCCGCGGGCGGCCCGACCUUGUGAAAGUGGCGCCGAAGCAUGGCGCACUCCUCAAGGGUGUGCUUGACGGGCCCCUGAUGAUAGGGGCACGGUUCCUUGAGCAUCUUGUCGAAGAGGUUGGCACCUCCGGGGGGUUUUCGAGGGUUCUUGUACUCGGCGAUGGCGACAAGGUCCACGUCGGCGGCGUCGCGCUUCGCUUGUGACUUCUUCUUGCCUUUCUUCUUGGCGCCGCGCUGAUUUGACGCCUCGGGGUCAUCUUCCGAUGGGCGGCCCUGGGGCUGCUUGUCCUUCCGGAAGAUGGCCUCAACCGCCUCCUGGCCAGAGGCGAACUUGGUGGCGAUGUCCAUCAGCUCGCUCGCCCUGGUGGGGGUCUUGUGACCCAGCUUGCUCACCAGGUCGCGGCAGGUGGUGCCGGCGAGGAACGCGCCAAUGACAUCUGAAUUGGUGAUGUUGGGCAGCUCGGUGCGCUGCUUUGAGAAUCAUCGGAUGUAGUCCCGGUGAGACUCUCCCGGCUGCUGUCGGCAGCUUCGGAGAUCCUAGGAGUUCCCAGGGCGCACGUACGUGCCCUGGAAAUUGCCGGCGAAGGCUUGGACCAGGUCGUCCCAGUUGGAGAUCUGCCCCGGAGGCAGGUGCUCCAACCAGGCGCGAGCGGUGUCGGAGAGGAACAGGGGGAGGUUGCGGAUGAUGAGGUUGUCAUCGUCCGUUCCACCCAGUUGGCAGGCCAGCCGGUAGGCCGCGAGCCACAAUUCCAGUCUCGUCUCACCCGAGUACUUUGUGAUGGUAGUCGGGGUUCGGAACCGGGUCGGGUACGGCACCCGUCGUAUGGCGCGGCUGAAAGCUUGCGGACCGGGUGGUUCGGGCGAAGGACUCCGACCCUCCCCGCUGUUGUAGCGUCCCCCACGCCUGGGGUGGUAGCCUCGGCGCACCCUCUCGUCGAGGUGGGCCCGACGGUUGCGGUGGUGGUGCUCGUUGCUGAGGCGACCUGGGGCCACAGGCACUGUGUUGCGCGUGCGCCCGGUGUGGACCGAGGCUUCCCGCAUGAACCGGGAAGUCGCGGCGCAAUGUUCCGAGGGGUACCCCUGCCUUCGGGAGGCGGAGCUUUCGGCCCGUCGGACCGCGGCGUCCUCCAAGAGAUUCUUGAGUUCUCCCUGGAUACGCCGCCCCUCGGUGGUUGAUGGCUCCAGCAUCGCGCGGAGAAGCAUUGCCGCUGCAGCCAGGUUCUGGCCGACUCCACUGGAAGUCGGUGGCGGCCUUACCCUGACAUCGUCGGUGAUGCGGUGCUGGAUACCCUGGGGUAGGUGACGCACUUCUCCGGCCGGAGGUUGGCCCGCCCAUUCCGGCCCGAUGGCCCGGCGGAUCGGCUCAAGUGUUCCUGCUCCCUCGUCGAGCCUGGCCUGCACCCCACAGAUUUGCUCGAGCUGUGGGUCAUGACCCCCCGCAGGAACGGGGACCACAGCUAGCUCCCGUAGGAUGUCAACGCGAGGCACAUGCCUAGGGAGAUCACCGUUCUCCGGCAUACCAAGAUGGUUGCCUUCGUUGGGACCCCCUAGAUCGACGUGGAAACAUUCACGACUUGGGCCGCAGUCCUCGUCGCCAAGGCUGCGGCUACCGUCAGAACAGUCGGAAAGGCAGUAGUCGCACGCGGUCAUAAAGUCCCGCAUGGCACUGGGGUUACCAAGUCCGGAGAAAUCCCAACAGAAGUUGGGCUCGUCAUCUUCCUCAGACCCCGAGGGCCCGUAGGUCGAGACGGCCGUCAGCCGGUCCCAGGGUGACCGCAUACGAUACCCCAAAGGGUUCGGACUCACCUCUACGAGAGCGUCCACCAAAGCGGAGUCGCUUGGCGGGUCGAGGCUGAAUCCAAAGGGCGUGAGAUGGGAAUCGGUUGGUACCUCUUGGCCGACGGGCGGUGACGAAGUCACGUCUGGGACUGACUGCACCGUCGUCUCAGGUAUGAGGGUGACGCCCAGCAAGUCCUUCGCGAGCGUGCUGGCGUCGUUCGUUUGCUUGGGGUUGGCGUGUUGCGGGGAGACGGUGCUCGUCUUCAUCUCAGACGCAAGGUUGAUGCCCGACGUGCCCCCCGUUGGGGCGCCGGCGCCGUCGACUCGCUCGACAGUCGACGAGGUGCCGUCUCCUGCUUGGCCUUGGUUGCCUCGCCUCCUCCUUCGUCGGCGGGGGAGGGGACGGGGCGAGCUCGAAUGUUGUUCUUCCACCAUGCGGGGAAAACGUCGUCGAUUCCGCCGCCGGCGGGCGGGCUGUCGGCCGCCAUUGUCGCUGUCGCAUGGUGGGGGAAGGAGUAUCAUGUCGUAGCUGCCGUCGAGGGACAUGAACUCAAGACUCGCAAAACGGAGCACCGUCCCGGGCUGGUAAGGUUGCUGGAGACUGCCCAUCUGGAGCUUGACGGGAAGCUGUUCGUCAACACGCAGCAGGCCCCUACCUGGCGCGCCAACUGUCAGCGGUUCGAACCCGGGGGGUCCCUGGACCGACGAGUAAAUUAUCGCCGCGUGCCCUAGCCCAGAUGGGUAGGCGCGAGACGGAGCGCGAAGGGGGGAGGCAGCCGGAGGGAGACGGGCGUGAGAGGUGGAAUCCCGCGGCCUUCGUGUUUGUCCCGCGCCCAGGUCGGGUGCGCUUGCAGUAGGGGGUUACAAGCGUCCACGCGGGAGGGAGCGAGCGGCCUCACGCGAGCGCCGUCCCGUCCUUCUCCGCACGGCCAACCCUCGUAAGAGGGCCCUGGUCCUUCCUUUUAUAGGCGCAAGGAAAGGAUCCAGGUGUACAAUGGGGGGUGUAGCAGUGUGCUAACAUGUCUAGCGAAGGAGAGCUAGCGCCCUAAGUACAUGCCAUCGUGGCAGCCAGAGAGGUUUUGGCACCCGGUUCGUGUGGUGUCGUGGCCGUCGGAGGAGCGCUGGAGCCCGGCGGAGGGACAGCUGUCGGGGCUGUCGAGUCCUUGCUGGCGUCCUCUUGCUUCCGUAAGGGGGCUGAGAGCCGCCAUCGUCAUAGAGCGUGCGGGGCGCCAUCAUUACUCGUCUGGCGGAGCGAGCCAGAUGGGACGCCGGUCUUGUUCCCCGUAGCCUGAGUCAGCUUGGGGCAGGGUAAUGAUGGCGCCUCCUGUUGACGUGGUCAGUCCGUGCCCUAGUUUGGGCGAGGUGGAGGCUCCUCCGAGGUCGAGGUCGAUUCUGUAUUCCAAGGUCGAGGUCGAGUCCGAGCCCCCGGGUCGGACGAGGCAUAGACCGUCGGCUGAUGUCAGGGCUGAGUCCGAGCCCUGGGGUCGGGCGAAGCGGAGUUCGUCGUCCUUCGGGGCUGAGCCCGAGUCCGAGCCCUGGGGUCGGGCGAAGCGGAGUUCGUCGUCUUCCGGGGCUGAGCCCGAGUCCGAGUCCGAGCCCUGGGGUCGAGCGGAGCGGAGUUUCCUAUGGCGCUUGAGGCCGGACUUGGCAGCUGUCAGCCUCACUCUGUCGAGUGGCUCAGCAGUCGGUGCGGCGCACGCGGUGCUGUCCUCUUGUCAGACCGGUCAGUGGAGCGGUGAAGUGACUGCGGUCACUUCGGCUCUGUCGACUGGAGGGCGUGCGUCAGGAUAAAGGUGUCAGGCCACCUUCGCAUUAAAUGCCCCUGCGAUUUGGUCGGUUGGCGUGGCGAUUUGGCCAAGGUUGCUUCUUGGUGAAGACUGGGCCUCGGGCGAGCCGAAGGUGUGUCCGUUGCUGGAGGGGGGCCUCGGGCGAGACGUAGAUCCCCCGGGGUCGGCUGCCCUUGCCCGAGGCUGGGCUCGGGCGAGGCGUGAUCGUGUCCCUCGAAUGGACUGAUCCUUGGCUUAGUCGCACCCAUCAGGCCUUUGCAGCUUUGUGCUGAUGGGGGUUACCAGCUGAGAUUUAGGAGCCUUGAGGGUACCCCUAAUUAUGGUCCCCGACACUAUCAGAUGCUGGAAGGUAGGGAAGGUGUGAUUCAUCAGCUGAUAGUGGAGGGGAUCAACCAAUCCUCUCAAGAAGCGGUACUGUCUCUUGGCAUCCGUGUUGACAUCCUCUGGGGCAUAACGAGGCAGCUGCAGAAACUUGUCCCUGUACUCACUGAUGGACAGGGGACCUUGCUUCAGGGCGAGAAACUCCUCCUUCCUCACUAUCAUCAGUCCCUCGAGCACAUGUGUUGGGGGUCUGCUUCGUCGCCGAAGGUCCUGUGAGAAGAAACACCUUCGGAAGAUCAAAACAGAAGCGGUGUCGAAGCUGUCAAUCAGGGAGCUUCGUAGCGUACCUUCAGAUGCACCGACUUAAAGAUGAAAAGACCAAUUGGCCCAUGAUAAUUUGUGUUAUGAUUAUAACCAGUUGUAAAGGACACAAAUGUAAAUCCACACAGGCUGCGCCCUGUGCCUAUAAAUAGAUGAACAGUAUCCGCGUACUGUUCACGCUGACUUGUAUUCGCUCGCACGUCACUUGGAUUUUCACCUUCUGUCAAGCCGAAGGUACAAAUGUAAUUCAAUAUUGUUUAUAUUUGUUCAUGAUGAUAUAAUAAAAUUACUUAAUGAUGUCAUAUGAUUAUUCAUGUUAUUUUCCAUGUUUCAUAUGCUUCUACUUUCAUUAUUAUAAUACUGAGAUGAUGAAGGUAUGUCCUUCAUAACCUUCAUUUGAAGAUCAUUAUAUCCUAAGGGAGAUAAUGCUUCGAAGGACGAAGGUCUUUAAUCAUUAAUACUUUGUGUUGCCUUGUUCUUAUCUCAUAGCAUUUGAGAACAAGUCCCCAACAUUGGCGCCCACCUCCGGUGAACUCACUUCCACUCUUGAGCUGAUGGCUUCGUUCAACAACCAAGUCGUAGCACCUUCGGCUAUGAAGCUGGUGCCCGAUAACAGGUGGCUCAAGUUCAGAGCCGGCUAACAAGAAGCAGAAGAAGGAAGCACAAAGAAGGGUGCAGCAUGUUGGGGUGCAGGGACCCUUCAUCAAGUCAAAAUGGUCCCACAUCCCAAUCACCUUCUCUUAGGAGGACCCUCUUUGUGGCUUCGGAGGAAGGCAGAUUAUAGCACUCGGUAAAAUCACGAUGCCAGUGACCUUCGGCUUCGUCCACAAUACAAGGACUAAACAAGUUGUCUUUGACAUUGUUGACAUGGAGUACCCUUACAAUGCAAUCAUUGGUCGAGGGACACUGAAUGCCUUUGAAGCAAUACUUCAUCCAACAUAUCUAUGCAUGAAGAUACCUUCGGAACAAGGGCCCAUUGCUGUUCAUGGGAGUCAAGAAGCUGCCAGAAAAGCCGAAGGAAAUUGGACAGACUCAAAAGCAAUUCAUAUAGAUGGAGCUGAAGUCUGUGAAUAGUACAAAUACAAAAGAGAGAAGGCUGCUUCGGCGGAUCAGCCGAAGCCUAUGCUUCUAUGUGAAGACAUAGUAGACCAAAAAGUACUACUAGGGUCUCAGCUAUCUGAAGAGCAAGAGAAAGCUUUGAUAAGAUUUUUAUUCAACAACAAAGAUGUCUUUGCUUGGUCAGCCAAUGAUCUAUGCGGUGUCAACAGAGAUGUCACUGAACAUUCACUCAAUGUGGACCCAUCUUUCAGGCCAAGAAAGCAGAGGCUUCGGAAAAUGUCUGAUGAUAAAGCCGAAGGUGCUCGGAAUGAAGUGAAAAGGCUUCUCAGUGCUGGUGUUAUCAGAGAGGUAAAAUACCCAGAGUGGUUAGCCAAUACUGUCAUGGUGAAGAAGGCCAAUGGCAAAUGGAGAAUGUGCAUUAACUUCACAGAUCUUAACAAGGCAUGCCCAAAAGAUGAAUUCCCGCUACCAAGAAUAGACUCUUUUGUAGAUGCAGCAGCUUCUUCAGAGCUCAUGAGUCUAUUGGAUUGUUAUUCGAGCUAUCAUCAAAUCUGGAUGAAAAAGGAAGAUGAGCCGAAGACUAGCUUCAUAACUCCCAGUGGCACCUAUUGCUACCUUCGGAUGCCUGAGGGGCUCAAGAAUGCUGGAGGAAGCUUCAGCAGAAUGACAGCCAAGGUCCUUCAUUCCCAGAUAGGCAGAAAUGUGCUGACUUAUGUUGAUGAUAUGAUAGUGAAAAGCACGAAGCAAGAAAAUCACAUUGCUGAUUUACAAGAAACAUUUGCCAAUUUCAGGCAAGCUGGCCUGAAAUUAAAUCCAGAAAAAUGUGUUUUUGGAGUGAAGAAAGGCAAGUUCCUUGGCUGUCUGGUAUCAACAAAAGGAAUUGAAGCUAACCCAAGCAAGAUCGAAGCUAUCCUUUGGAUGGAGCCACAAAGCACGAAGAAAGGGGCUCAACGGCUGGCAGGAAGAUUAGCAUCAUUAAACAGAUUCAUAUCCAGAUCAGCGGAAAGAAAUCUGCCAUUUUUUGAAAUACUGAAGUUAGCCUAAGUCUUUCAAUGGGGCCCGGCACAACAAAAAGCUUUUGAAGAGUUGAAACAAUAUUUGAUUGAUUUAACAACAUUAACUCCACCCGCGCCAGGGGCUCCAUUGCUCUUAUAUGUGGCAGCUUCGCAUUCUUCAGUGAGUGCGGCACUGAUACAUGAGAAGAUAGAUGGCCAGGCUAAAAAGCAAGCUCCAAUAUACUUCGUCUCCGAAGUUCCUCCAACAAAGAAAAAUUACACAGAAUUGGAGAAGGUAUUAUAUGUUGUGUUAAUGGCCUCCAGAAAGCUUCGACAUUAUUUUCAAGCAUACCACAUAAUUGUUCCUUCGUCACAACCUCUAAGGACAUCAUGAGAAAUAGAGAGGCUACUGGAAGAAUUGGAAAAUGGGCUACAGAGCUUAAUGAAUUCACCAUUGAUUAUGUGCAUAGAUCUUCAAUUAAGUCCCAGGCGUUAGCAGACUUCAUCGCUGACUGGACACCAGGGGCUCAGGAAGAAGAGAUAAAUAAAGAUGCCAAAGCUUGGAUACUGUUCUGCGAUGGUUCUUGGGGAACCUUCGGCGCAGGAGCAGCUGCUGUUCUAGUAGCACCUUCGAAAGUCAAAACAUGUUAUGCAGCCAAGCUAGACUUUAGUUGUACAAAUAAUAUUGCCGAAUACGAAGCACUUUUGUUAGGGCUUCGGAAGUUAAGGGCAAUGGGAAUAAGAAGGGCUAUUCUGAAAACUGAUUUUCAAGUCAUUUCUGACCAUGUAGAUAAAAGUAGCAAGGCAAGAGAUCUGAAACUUGAAAAAUAUCUGGAUACAGUUCGAAGGUUGGAGGCUUCUUUCGAAGGUUUCUCUGUCAAGAACAUCCUAAGAGGCAAAAAUGAGCAUGCAGAUCUGUUAGCCAAAUCAGCGGCUCAGGGGCUCCCUCUACCUUCGGAAGUAUUUUUUGAAACAAUAAAGGCACCUUCGGCUGAACUCAUGGAGAGAGCAGUGCUCGCCAUUUAUCCAGUACAUAGUGAAGAUUGGAGGACUGAAAUCAUAUCUUUCCUCCAGGGCAACUGCCUCUCGGACGAUGAAGUUUAUAAUAAAAGAAUGGAAGCAAGAACAAGACCAUAUAUCAUAAUAGAAGGGGAAUUAUACCAACAUGGAGUUUGCUCCCCCUUCUCAAGUGCCUAUCCAGAACCGAAGGUAUAGAACUAAUGAAGGAGAUACAUGCAGGAUUGUGUGGAUCUCAUAUUGGGUCUAGGCCUUUGCUGGGAAAGGUCUUUAGACAGGGAUUUUACUAGACGAAGGCAACUUCGGAUGCAGCAGAUAUGGUCCAAAAGUGCGAAAAUUGUCAAAAAUGUGCAAGGGACCAAAAACAACCUUCGUCAUUGACUCAGUUAAUACAACCAACCUGGCCAUUGCAAAGGUGGGGCCUGGACUUGUUAGGUCCACUUCCACCAGCGCAAGGUAAUUUGAAAUAUGUCGUGGUGGUUGUAGAAUAUUUUUCUAAGUGGAUCGAAGCAAAGCCUUUGGCUACAAUAACUUCGGUUACAGUCCAGAAAUUCUUCUGGCAAAAUAUCGUUUGUCGCUUUGGUGCCGAAGGCUAUAACUAUGGACAAUGGAACACAGUUUGAUGCUAAAACUUUCAAAGAUUUCUGCGACCAGAUUGGCACGAAGAUUCAUUUUGCAUCAGUCAGGCACCCGGAGUCAAACGGGCUGGUCGAAAGAGCAAAUGGUAUUAUAAUGACGGGAAUAAUGAAGUUAAUCUUCAAUCAACCCAGAGGAAAGUGGCCAGAUGAGUUGAUUAAAGUGGUGUGGAGCCACAAUACAACUAUAUCAAGGUCAACAGGUUUUACACCGUUUAAGUUAUUGUUUGGUGACGAAGCUAUAACCCCAGAAGAAGCUAAGGCAGGGUCAAUUAGAACAGUAGCUUCGACAGAGGACGAAGCUGAUUAUUCUGUGGCAAAAUAUGCUAUAGAAGGGACCAGACUUCAGGCUGUGGAGAAUAUCAAUAAAUAUCAAGCCGAAACAAUAAAAUGGUGUGACAGAAAAGUUCGGCUGAAAAACAUCAAGCCAGGGCAUUUGGUACUUCGGAGAGUGGCCAAUCCAAACAUAGUAGGCAAACUACAGCUGAAGUGGGAAGGACCCUUUCUGGUGGUAUCUUCGUCAAGACCCGGUUCUUACAGAUUGAAGGAUAUGGACGACAAUGGCAUUCCUAGAUCUUGGAAUGUGGAUGAGCUUCGACGAUAUUAUGUGUAACUUGAUGUAAUCUUUUUCAUUUUUCCUAUGACACCCUUUUCCUUUCCAAAGGGGAGAAAGGUUUUUAAUGGGGCCAUAGUUUGUAAUUUUCCUUUCUUAUUCAGCUCUACGAGAGCAAAAUCCCCCAAAAAUAUGUAAAAUGUAAAAUCUGAGCAUGCACCAUUGAAUGCAGGAAAAGAAAAAAAAAUCAGGGAGAAGCUCGAAAGUCAUCCCUAAGGGGAUGUAGAGCACAACGAAGCUACAAAAAGUCGUUCCUAAGGGAGUGCAACGUAAGUUUUCUGCUCAAAAGUCAUUCCUAAGGGAAUGCAGAGCCAAAUACCGCCGAAAUAUAAGGCAAAGAAGUUCAAAAGACGUUCCUAAGGGAAUGCAGAACUUACACCGAAAAGUCAACGGUGAUACCACCAAAAUAGAAGGCGAAGAAGUUCAAAAGACGUUCCUAAGGUGAUGCAGAACUUACACCGAAAAAUAAGUGGUGCAGCCAAAAACUAAACGACAAAGAGAUUUCAGUCAUUCCUAAGGGAAUGAGGAGUUUUGAUGUGGCUUCGUAAGCAUGUGUCUGGACAUUCAUUUGCACAAUACAUCACAUCAUUCAUUGCAUUCAUAUACAUUCAUUUAGACAUACAUAGGAUCAUCAUCAUCAUAUCAUACAGAUACAGACAGUUGCUUUGGCUCUAAUGAUAAGGCUUUGGUGAAAGGAAAGGAAGCAGAUUUAUGCUUCGUUGUGUACGAAAAGAAGGAAAGGUGUUUUUCGCCUUCGGCUCAAAAAAUACAAGUUUCGUCCACAUUAAAGCAGUUCAUAUAUGGACGAAAAGGUAAAAAUAUAUUACUAGGUAUGGACAAAUUUACAGAGUAGUAUCUGAUUUUUAAAUUACAAUAUUCUUUACAAUGAUAAUUCAAGAGUUUCUCUAAAGUUUUUUCAUAGCAAUGUCUUCGGCUUCAUCACCAUCCGCUAAGCUUCGGAUCAUCCACCAAGCUUCGGCUCUUCGCUCCUCGGCUUCGUCAUCCUGUACAUAACAAAGUGUUAUAAGGUAAAUUCAAGUUUCAAGGAAAAGGUAAGCACAAGGUAUGAGUUUAUUACCGAUUUGAGGUGACUUCGAGCUUCGUCACCAGCUAAGCUUUGUCCACCCUUCGCCCAAAUUUGAGUUACGAAUCUGUUCCCAAUGCUUCGGGCCAGGCCGGGGAUAUCAUUCAAGUCCGCUGGUGAUAAGCUAAAGUUCAGCCUGUUUACAAUAUUCCUGUGCGUGCAACCAGCCAGUAGAGCGCAGAAGUCACCAUGCCCAGCUAUGACUUCAUCAAGAGCAUCAACUUCGCCUUCAAUAUGAUCGAAGAUGCCUGGCAGGUCUUCAGCUGAAGGUUUAAACUUUUCAGAACUGGCUCCAACUGAGUUGAAGACUUGCUUCAGUCGUUGCACACAACGGUUGCUAAAGUCCAGACAUUUAUCUUGAAGUUCCUUCAAUGACUUUUGCAAGUUCAAACUCUUUGCGACUUCAGCUUCAAGCUUUGCAUCAAAAUCCUUCUUCUCUUGUUUGAAGCUUUUUGAUUUCGUGGAGAGUUCACUAUUUAAUUUAGCAAUCUCGGCUUGAGCUUCUGCCAGUGAACCCUCCAUUGUUUGAAUCACGAAAUCCUUCUUCUCCAGAGCAGCUUCGUGAUCUUUAAUCUUGCCCUCUAGGCCCUCAAUUAUAAUCUCAUUUUUCUUGUCCUCGAGAUCUUGUUGCAUUCUUAAGGUUUUACUUAGUAGUAGACUCUGAGAAAAUAACCUUCAUUAGAAGUAACCUUCAUCUCGAAAACAACAAAAAUUAAGGCAAGAACUUUACCUUAAAGUUAGAAUAAAACAAGCUACCAGCGAUAUGUUGCCGCUGGUAUCUGCUGAGGUCGGCCUCAAGCUUCGGAAAGCCAACACUCUUUGAUAGAGUGCUGACAACCUUCGCUCCAGUCCGGUCCCAGAGGCAUCCUAAGCUCUCUUCGUCAACGCCACCGAAGAGCAAUGCUCCUGCCUGGUAGCCGCAAGAUAUAGCAUAAUCUCUUAGUUCUUCUUUUUCAGCCUUGGAUAACUCCUGAACAGUCAUGUUUCGAAAAUUGAAGUCCCCUUCCCCCGAAAUACCUUCGGCAAUCUUCUUCUCUUUGUUGAACAUCUUCUCCCCUUUUCCAGGCACUGUGGCUAGGGUUGCCUCGGCAGUUGCAACAGUUUCUUCCGUGGCCAUAACCAAAAUCAUCUUAUCAAUAUCAGAAAAUACGCCCUCAAGAUUUGUGGCUUCGGCCGUCGCACCUUCGGCAGCUGGUGUUUUUGACGCUGAAGCCGACGGCGGCGUUUCUUCAAUAGCAUCAAUAACGGUAAUAAUCCUUCGCCUUUUUCAGCAGGCUUCUUGAUUGCUGCAGGCUCCUCCUUCUUCUGUAAAAGCUUCAUCAGUUCUAGCCCUAGUGGACUUAGCUUGAGAGGUAAAGAUUCGGUCAUUACCUUUAAAAUUUUCUCCACGUCAGCAGCGGGAGGCGUUGAAGGAACUUCUUCCUCUAUAUCAGUUGUUCUUGGCUUCGCAGCCGCAACUUUUCUUUUCUUCGAAACAGCCACCUCUGGCUCAGGGCUGGAUUUUUUUCUUUUUUAAAGCUUUCUCAUAUUCUUCUACCAUUCUAGCAGCUUGCCUCUUCAUAACACUAACAACUCUUUUUCGCUUUGGCCCUUCGGCACCCUUACUUAACCGUUCAUAGUCAGGGUUUUCAAAUUUCAGGGCAUCCAUUACUCGGUUCAGCCUUCGUUUCGGUCGGGUGCCGAAGGCCACGAUCAUCAAUUGAUCUUCUUUCUUAGUAUAGUUGCCCAGAAUCUCAUUGCACAUAGCUUCAAUCAUUUCCAACCAUUCUUGGCAAGGCUCUUUGUAAUGUUUCUUGAACUUGAAGUGAUAGGGCAGUCGAAUAAGUUCAUUCUUCUUCUUUUCUCCUUUAAGCUUCGGCAUAUUCCAUUCCUUUAACGUCGGAAAUACUCUAUUGGUUAAAUAUUCCUGCACCAAAUCUCUAGUACCGACAUGCUCAGACACAACUCGGAAUUCACCCAUAGCUUCUCGGCAUGGUGACCCUUGCAGCAUGUCGCACAGGGGCCUAGUUAACCCAAAGGUUAGGACCAGUGGGCUCUAAACUAUCUUCUCCUUCUUCUCAACAACCCUAACAUAAAACCACUCAUUCUUCCAACCAGUUGGCCAUUUCGUGCGAUAGCUGACCACCGGAGUCUUCAUAUCUUUGCGGUAAGCAAAGUUGUAAUAGCCGAAAUUCUCGUGUAGCCCAUCUUCUCUAGCCUUCGUCUGAUAAUGAAGCUCGUGCACCCAGCAGAAAGCUUUGGCAAGCGGCUCCACUCCUUGGCUUCGAAGAGCCCAGAUAAAGAUGCUGAGCCUAACGAUGGCAUUAGGAGUCAACUGAUGAAGAUAAAUUUCAAAAUCUUCCAAAACAUCCCCAAUCAUUUCAUGCAAAGGAAACCUCAAUCCUGCUUUGAAGAAACUUCUAAAAACUACCACCUCAUCAUUUUCUGGCUUCGGAGUGGUUUCUUCUUCGCCAAAACGAAUCAGCUUCUUCUCCGCCUCCCCGAAGUAGCCUAGCUUUAUCAUCAUGGGCAUAUCAGCCUCAGAGACAGUAGACUUUCCAAAAUCCAAGUGGCUAGGCUUGGAUGGCAUGACGGUGUUAUAAUCUAUCUCUUCCUCAUUAGCAUUACCUUCUUCAAUGUCAGCCUGUUCAACUUCGGCAGCAGGUGCACCUUCCUCAGAAGCACCCUCUGUCACAACCAGUCCUGAUUGCCUCAUUACUUUGGAGAUUGGGGCAGUCUCAGUAGCUUCGGCCUCCUCUCCGUCGCGCGUAAUUCUAGCUGUUGAACGCACUCUGGCCAUUUGAUACUGAAUUUCUCUCGGUUUUGACGAAGUUGAUGACUUUUUGCAAUUUUGCCGAAGCUCCCUCUUAUGACGAAGCUAAAACAAGACGAUGCUUUGAUUGAGAAUACGAUGAAUAAGCUUCGGCUAUGGUCAAAUUUUUCAGCAGCACAACAGUGCAAUAGUAAUAAAUGUUGUGGUAACUUCACACCUACCCGUCUGUUUAUAUAGUACUGCAGGUGGGAAGGUGAAUCGCCAAGUCACUCGCACACGCUGAACAGUCGCCCGCAACCACUGAAUAGGGAACCAUAGUGCGUGAGAAGGUGAAUCACCAGAUCGCACGUACCCGUCGUAUGGUGGGACCACCUCGUACUUGGAAUAUUUAGUCGUUUCUCGACAACGAGCUCAGGGAAGGUGUUUUUCAGACCUUCGGCAUUUCGAAGCCUAAGAAAAUUUUUCACGGGUCGAGCUCAUUACGAAAAAUGAUCUGGCACCGUGAAGGGGCUACUGUUGGGGGUCUGCUUCGUCGCUGAAGGUCCUGUGAGAAGAAACACCUUCGGAAGAUCAAAACAGAAGCGGUGUUGAAGCUGUCAAUCAGGGAGCUUCAUAGGAUACCUUCAGAUGCACCGACUUAAAGAUGAAAAGACCAAUUGGCCCAUGAUAAUUUGUGUUAUGAUUAUAACCAGUUUUAAAGGACACAAAUGUAAAUCCACACAGGCUACGCCCUGUGCAUAUAAAUAGAUGAACAGUACCCCCGUACUAUUCACGCUAAUUGUAUUCGCUCGCACGUCACUUGGAUUUUCACCUUAUGUCAAGCCAAAGGUACAAAUGUAAUUCGAUAUUGUUUAUAUUUGUUCAUGAUGAUAUAAUAAAAAUGUCUUAAUGAUGUCAUAUGAUGAUUCAUGUUAUUUCCAUGUUUCAUAUGCUUCUACUUUCAUUAUUAUAAUACUGAGAUGAUGAAGGUAUGUCCUUCAUAACCUUCGUCUGAAGAUCAUUAUAUCCUAAGGGAGAUAAUGCUUCGAAGGACGAAGGUCUUUAAUCAUUAAUACAUUGUGUUGCCUUGUUCUUAUCUCAUAGCAUUUGAGAACAAGUCCCCAACAACAUGGUAGCGACGGAAGUUGUCCCUGAACUUCUCUCAAGUGAUGGCUUCAGGGUUGGCAUGGGUGGCGAGGUAGGACUCCCACCAAGACUGUGCUGCUCCCCUCAGCUGUCGGGGACCAUACAACACCUUCUCACGAUCGUUGCACUGGGCAGUGUGCAACUCACGCUCCACGGUACGCAGCCAAUCUUCAGCGUCCAUGGGAUUAGCAGAGUGGGCAAAGACUGGGGGAUGGCCCCUCAUGAACUCUGCCUGCUUGUCUCUGGGCACUUGUGGCAUCUAGACUUGCACUGGAGGCUGAGGCGGUGGUAGCUACUGCUGCACUUGCUGCAUGGCUGCUAAUGUCUGACCAAUGGCCUGGACUGCUUGAGUUUGCAUCAAGAACAUCCGCUCGAUAGUCAUCGGGGGUGGCAGUUGCAAAUGCUGCUGCGGGGCUGCUUCCUAUUGGGGUGCCUGCUGUUCAGGCUGAGCACGCCUCGCACCUCUGCGCCUGUUCUCAGACAUCUAUGGAAAUCACACACAUAAAUCAAAUAUGACUCUGCAUCUUUCAGCAUAAGAAAAGAUGUAUAGAAAAUAUUUAUAGAACUAAACAAUUGAUCAUCUUCACUGACAGCUUCUCAGAUAAAGAGGAAAGUGGAUAUAAAUGGAUUACCCAACUAAAUAACUGACUUUAUUAAUAACUACACCAAGUUGCAGAGGAUACCCACACCUUGGUGACAAUCAUUACAAAGGUUUCUAGGGUUUUGAGCAAGUUUUCCCAAUUUGAGGUGCAUGAAAAAGGCUAAGAUACUCCUUCUAGCAUAUCCAACACUUGAUUAAGACAUUGCACUAAAUUUUGGUGCUUCAUCCCCACACUAAACCACAUGUGAUAAUGGGUCACAGGUGAAUUGUUGAGCCAGGGCCUUGGGUAACACCUGGGGUGUUACAAGAGGUUGCACAUCUUUACCCACAAGUCAUGUUACCCAUUUGCCAAGGGAUCAUGACUUCCCAUUCAUCUCUACUGUCACACCCGGUUUUGGAAGGCAAACCGAAUGCGAACGAUGUACGUGCCAGGAUCAGAAACUCACGUACACAACGAUUACAUAAUUGGACAUCAUCACACAAUGCUUGAAAUAAAUAGCGGAAAGGUACUUUAUUACAUCAAGAUGUCCAAGACAUCUACAGAGUCUAAUACAUAACCAUUGUUCAACAUAAUUAUCAAAGUGCAGAAAUACGAAACGUAGAUGCUAAGCCUACACAGGCAGCUGACUGCGGGUUUGCCACUAAGAAAGAACUAGAACUCGUCGUAGUCCUGAAACUCCUCGAAAUUCUCCAUGUUGCCAGCAUCACCUCCUGAGCAGUGGGUACAAUGGGGACAACCUGGGGUGGGGUGGUGUGUAAAGCAAGGGUGAGUACACAUCAACGUACUCAGCAAAUGUCCCGUUUGGCUAAAGUGGACUAGCUGUAUAUGGAGUUGAGUUUAAGCAGUUGCUUUUAGUUGGUCAAACAUUUAUUAUUAUUAGUAGAGCCAAGUUUUAGUAAUAAACCCAGUUAUUACCUAGAAGUACCUCCUCAAAAGAGGAAAUACCAGAGAUCAGAUUUUAUAACAUCAUUGUUAAUCAUCAACAUAAUAGUAUCCAAAGUUCUUCUAAUCAAAGAGGAUCCCAAGGCUGCUUUUAACCGUGAGCUCGGCUGAUAUACCAAUUUUUAACACUCUGCAGAGGUUGUACACUUUAUCCACAAGUCGUGAUCCCUUUCCAGCCUGGGUUGUACAGACCCGAUCUUCACUACCAAGGUGAAUGGCCAGGAAUACACUAUGUAGCCUUUAUAAAGACUCCCCUGGUGCAUAGCUGCUCGUUAGGUUUCGCCAGUUGUACAAACGCAGUACACCUCCCCAAGGUGGGUGUCUAACAAAACCAAAUCGAAAGAACCUCUGCACUCCAACCUGUGCAGAGCGAGCACUACGCCCCGGCCCCCAUUGACGGCCAUCUAGCAAAGCCAAUUACACCCCAGAUUCAUCUAAUUAAUUAGCUAAGGGCGUCCCAUUCCACCCUCAUGGUUGUACUGUUAUCCUGGGUGGUCACUCCACGAACAGGUCCUUACAGAGAGGUACUCAGGAAAAGGCCUAAGCCCCCUAAGGUAUCACAAGAUCAUCCACAUAAUCAGGAUAACAGUAUCGUAUCAUAAAUGUUCACAUCAUGUUCAUUGAUUAAGUUAAGGCAGUAGCAACAUGCUAACCAUGAUAACCCCAAAAGGUAAACAAGGAUAAAGUAAAUAGAAAGCUAGUCAAUCCUUAGGUUUAAGUAAUGUAAUGCGGGACAGUGAAUCAUAAAGUAUGUAGGACAUAAUAGGCCAGAGGACACUUGCCUUCACCAGGUUGUUGCUCAGGGAGGUCUCCAACAACACACUCAGGAACCUCGGACUGCUCAUUGUCUAAAUAAAGCGAGCAUGCAUUCAAUACAUUUGGAAAGUACAAAUGAACAUCACACCAAACAUUUACAAGCAUUGGAACACAUCUUAAAAAGACACAAUACUACAUCAGGGAUAAUGAAUUCAGGGUAUAACAUAAACUAUGGCAUAGAUUAACUUUAUU
rnacentral:lncRNA from 1 species